UACGUAGGGGGCUAGCGUUAUCCGGAAUUACUGGGCGUAAAGGGUGCGUAGGUGGUUUCUUAAGUCAGAGGUGAAAGGCUACGGCUCAACCGUAGUAAGCCUUUGAAACUGGGGAACUUGAGUGCAGGAGAGGAGAGUGGAAUUCCUAGUGUAGCGGUGAAAUGCGUAGAUAUUAGGAGGGACACCAGUUGCGAAGGCGGCUCUCUGGACUGUAACUGACACUGAGGCACGAAAGCGUGGGGAGCAAACAGG
rnacentral:rRNA from 1 species